rnacentral:rRNA from 1 species
AGAGUUUGAUCCUGGCUCAGGAUGAACGCUAGCGGCAGGCCUAAUACAUGCAAGUCGAACGCUCAGUAGCAAUACUGGGAGUGGCGCACGGGUGCGUAACGCGUACACAAUCUACCUCUAAGCGGGGGACACCUCCUGGAAACGGGGAUUAAUACCGCAUAAUAUGCCGAGGUCGCAUGACUUUGGUAUUAAAGCAGCAAUGCACUUAGAGAUGAGUGUGCGUCCCAUUAGGUAGUUGGUGAGGUAACGGCUCACCAAGCCUAUGAUGGGUAGCCGGUCUGAGAGGAUGGUCGGCCACACGGGCACUGAGACACGGGCCCGACUCCUACGGGAGGCAGCAGUAAGGAAUAUUGGUCAAUGGUGGAAACACUGAACCAGCCAUGCCGCGUGGAGGAAUAAGGUCCUACGGAUUGUAAACUCCUUUUGACGAGGAAGAAAGUGUUAGACUUAUCUAAUUUUGACGGUACUCGUAGAAUAAGCACCGGCUAACUCCGUG